AUAAAGAUUCCCCUACCAGUACGGAGUGAAAUUGUGAUAACUCCUGGCACAACCAUUAAGACCCUCAUCUAUAGUGGACUGGAACAAAGCACAGGUGACUGUAACACAGAUUGAUGAAAGAUUCUGCAGGACGACAAAGGUUAAAGAUGUAGACCCGGAGCUAGAAGCCAGCACUGACACUGAUGGAGUGGACUGCGAUGAGAAUGCCCACAUUAUUGUCCUAUCCUCUGAUAACCAAUGUAAUAUGAAAACCGACUACAGAAGAAAGGAACAAAUUAAAUCCAUUAAUCAAGCAUAUCUCUGCUAAACAGUUGUUCGAAACUGAUGAACAAAUGAAAAAUUUACUGUUUGUUUUCAUGCUUGCAAGGAUUGGGGAAGAAAAUUAAUUAUAAGGUACUGGCCACACUA
rnacentral:lncRNA from 1 species